rnacentral:rRNA from 1 species
UACGGGGGGGGGUAAGCGUUGUUCGGAAUUACUGGGCGUAAAGGGCUCGUAGGCGGCCAACUAAGUCAUACGUGAAAUCCCUCAGCUUAACUGGGGAACUGCGUGUGAUACUGGAUGGCUUGGAUUUGGGAGAGGGAUGCGGAAUUCCAGGUGUAGCGGUGAAAUGCGCAGAUAUCAGGAGGAACACCGGUGGCGAAGGCGGAUCUCUGGGCCUUACCUGACGCUCAGGCGCGAAAGCUAGGGGAGCGAACAGG